UAGGGAAUAUUGGACAAUGGGGGCAACCCUGAUCCAGCCAUGCCGCGUGAGUGAAGAAGGCCCUCGGGUUGUAAAGCUCUUUUGUCCGGAAAGAAAAGCAUUCGGUGAAUACCCGGAUGUUCUGACGGUACCGGAGGAAUAAGCACCGGCUAACUUCGUGCCAGCAGCCGCGGUAAUACGAAGGGUGCAAGCGUUACUCGGAAUUACUGGGCGUAAAGCGUGCGCAGGUGGUUGUUUAAGUCUGAUGUGAAAGCCCUGGGCUCAACCUGGGAAUGGCAUUGGAAACUGGGCAGCUAGAGUGCGGUAGAGGGUAGUGGAAUUCCCGGUGUAGCAGUGAAAUGCGUAGAGAUCGGGAGGAACAUCUGUGGCGAAGGCGACUGCCUGGACCAGCACUGACACUGAGGCACGAAAGCGUGGGGAGCAAACA
rnacentral:rRNA from 1 species